GUAGAAACGGCCCGGGGCUACAACCGUACGGUAAUUGCUAUUUAGUAAACGUGGCAGACUAGAGUACUGUAGAGGGGGUAGAAUUUCAGGUGUAGCGGUGAAAUGCGUAGAGAUCUGAAGGAAUACCGGUGGCGAAGGCGGCCCCCUGGACAGAUACUGACACUCAGAUGCGAAAGCGUGGGGAGCAAACAGGAUUAGAUACCCUGGUAG
rnacentral:rRNA from 1 species